rnacentral:rRNA from 1 species
UGGUGGGGUGACUUGUCUGCUUAAUUGCGAUAACGAACGAGACCUUAACCUGCUAAAUAGCCCGCGUUGCUCCGGCAGUGCGCUGGCUUCUUAGAGGGACUUUCGGCUCAAGCCGAAGGAAGUUUGAGGCAAUAACA